rnacentral:rRNA from 1 species
GUUAAGAAGCUCGUAGUUGGAUUUCGGUUAAGAGCGACCGGUCCGCCGUUUGGUGUGCACUGGUUGGUUUUAACUUCCUGUAGAGGACGUGCUCUGGGCUUAACGGUCUGGACUCGGAGUCUACGUGGUUACUUUGAAAAAAUUAGAGUGUUCAAAGCGGGCUUACGCUUGAAUAUUUCAGCAUGGAAUAACACUAUAGGACUCCUGUCCUAUUUCGUUGGUCUCGGGACGGGAGUAAUGAUUAAGAGAAACAGUUGGGGGCAUUCGUAUUUCAUUGUCAGAGGUGAAAUUCUUGGAUUUAUGAAAGACGAACUUCUGCGAAAGCAUUUGCCAAGGAUGUUUUCAUUAAUCAAGAACGAAAGUUGGGGGCUCGAAGAUGAUUAGAUACCAUCCUAGUCUCAACCAUAAACGAUGCCGACUAGGGAUUGGCGGAUGUUAAUUGAUGACUCCGCCAGCACCUUAUGAGAAAUCAAAGUUUUUGGGUUCCGGGGGGA